AUUGAAAAGAAACUCUCAGCUGGCUGGAUAUAGUAUGUACCUGUUGUAAAGGAAGAUAACUUUGUUUCAAAUAUGCCAUUGAACUUUGCUCUAGGAUAUUUUUGCAUGAAUUUGAGUCAAUAUCCUUGACCAGGUCAGCGAUGAAAUUUGGAGUUGCAGUUUUCUCUGUCGUAAUGCAACCAAUGCAAGAUGGAUCCCCGGAAAUCAGAAUCUGUCAAACAUGUGACAACUUAUCACUAACCGAACGAUAUGAUGAAGCCAUCUGAACUAUUCAAGAAGAUGCCAUUUUAAGCCAGAUAGAUUUGUUAAUUGCCCUUGGGAAAGUGGUGAAGAGUUGGCAUCUUAACAUACAGCAGGCCUUCUGUAGAAGGUAUUCCCCACUGGCCCAGUUUGGAGGUUGCUACUGGAGUGGAUGCUAGAAAAUGUUGUGUGGGUUGGCAGCAGUUCCUAAUCCUAUCUGGAAGAGCUUUAGCUGGCACAGAGUUCCACAUUGCUUUGCCCCGGUGUCACUGCCUGGCAAAUUGAAUUAAAGAUGCUCCAAUCUUUGAAGCAGUUUAUCAUAAUACAAGCACUUUGUUCAAUCUCUGCAGGAGAAUUUUAUGGCUUUUCUUGUGGAAGUCUAAUUGGAGAAAUAAAGCAGCGUCUUGACAAAGUGCAGAGCAUUUCUUGGCGAAUGCUCUGAAGAUUUCAGAAAUAUUGCAAAUGCCAUAUAUUUAGAACAAUUUCUCACACUAUGUGGUAUUAUGAAAAAAAAAUUAAAUCUCACAUGCCAUAAAUGAAAAUCUUUCAAAGAAAUUGAAGAUUUUAAUUAAUUUUCUGCGAUGAUGUGUAUGGAAUGGUUAUUAGGAUACACAAACGCCUUAAAAUAAUACAAAUCUUUCUUUGUCAAAAUUAAAUGUUGAACAGAAUUAAGCUGCUAAAUGAUAAUGUGGCAAGGAGUCCAAAUCCCCCUGCACUGCAGAUGAACGGUUUGUGCAGUUAAGGAGGCCUGAAAAAUUACUCCUUCCAAAAUAGAGAAGGGAAUUUGUUCUUGUAGAAACAUUGUUUCAACUCAACAUCCCAUGCACCAUCAAUCUUCAGUCCAUACCAUUCAGCGACUUGUGCUAAUACUAUUUUGUGACUCCAUGUGCUGGAUCGUAACUAUAUGUGCUUUGUGAGACUGUAUAUACUGUGUUUUGCACUUUGG